GCGGUGGGCAAAGCUUCCGGUGCAUUUGCAGCUCAGCAGUCGAGCGUCAACCCCAAGCUGCAGAAACUCGGGUGCCCGCGCCUCCGGCAACCCCGGAGCCUCUGCGCUCCCGACCCUGCUCUGUCGCCCCUCGCCUCGGCGCCCGGCGGGAGCGGCUGUGGGGUGCGUGGGUCGCCCAGGGCCUGAGCCGGAGGAGAGUCCCGUCCCGCCGCGCCCCGUCUCCGGGCGCCCGGACGCUGCAGGCGCGGACGCCAUUGCCGCUGCCGCUGUUUGUUAUUAAACUGCCCACAGACGGGGCUUCGAGUAAAAAUACCAACUUUCCAGUCGGGGCGGCGCACGUCCCCGGGCCCUGGAAAGUUCUGGGACGGCCGAGGUCUCCUCGGACACCCUCACCCACGCCCCCGUCGUGCCCUUUCUGACUUUUGGCUCCUCGACUUCCCUUUUGUGCGGCCCCGGGCAGCUUCCUCAGGCCGCGCCGGCCCCACCUGCCGCCCUGGGAGCUGUUACUCCCCCGGCAGCAGGAGCAUCCAGCUCGGGUUUUAUUUCCUCCCGAGACACCGGAGAAGGCCUCAGGCCUUCAGAGGACCUGCUAGAGUCAGCUUCACUGCAGUUUCCCAGUGGCCCUUUGACAGUCUACAAACCAGCUGGAAAGCAAAGACCACCAUCAAGAAAAGGCCCUGAGCAGCAAACAGAGCCCCACCAUCCAUACAGAGGUCAGCCUGAAGGAAAGCUACAGCCAGAGGCUCCAGCUACCGGGUCUCAGAGCUACAGGCACUUUUACACAGGGGCAGACAGAGAUAAGGUGGGAGCUGAUGUAUUAUGCCUGGAAGGUACCAAGGAAAUGAUAAUGGAUGUUUCUAUUUGACACUUUGUUGUGUUUUUCUUUUUAAAAGAUUUGAAAUCAUUCGGGACAAUUUCUUAUUUCUAGCAACAGAGUGAUCUGAACCACUGAUUUGCUUGGAAAUCAAGAGAUUCUGUUUAUGGAUCUGUACUUUGGUCUAACAACUCUGUUUCACACUAUGGGCGGGCUUUAGCAGUGUAGUUUCCAGAUAGUAUCUGAAAUUAAAAAAAAAAAAGGGAGCAGGGGGAGAGAGAAAAUAAUUUGGGAGUAAUCUGAGCCUCUCGUAAACAGAUAAGAUCCAAGAAACCUCAGUCCCAAAUGACAUGAAGAGCAACUUGUACAUUCAUUUACUGACUCCAAAAUGGUCUCAUUCUUACUGAAUCGGUUUUUGUGCUGUUUCUUUUAAAACCUAACCCCCUUAACUGUUAGCAGCGUAUUUUUAAACAACAUUAGAGUGCCCUUUUCUAAUUGGUAAAAAGCAAUCAUCAUGAGGAUGAGUCACACUCCAGGACCCAGACAUCCCCUCAGUGUCCAGUUUCCUCCAGAAACACUUAGGUACGAAAGUGGGUCAGAAGUGCCCAUCAUCCCAGGCAUAUUCCUUCUUGAAUGUUUAAACCAACAUUGUUUUGUACUUAUAAGGAAUUGUUAUACUAAUCAUUUUUUUGCCAAAUUGGCCAUAAUAUAAUCCACCUACCACUGACCAACUACAGAAGAAAAAUUAAACAAAAGUUUUGCUGUUGUUAUCCUUUUUUUUCCUAGGGGUUGAGCUUCUGAAGCCAGGAGGUCACUUGGAUUAUGUAUACAACCUUGGUAAUUGCAUUCCUACAUUCUACAAAAUGCCACAGCACUCACUACAGUCCAAAAUAGCUGUUGCAAACAAUGACAAUUACUGCCCAGACAUUUUCAAACACAGCAGGUUACUGGCUGAAGCUGUGAUGGAAACCCUAAAAAAUAUAUAAAUAUUUUGAAAUGCUCUGUAAAUCAAACUGAUGCCCCAGACACAGAGUGGAUUGUCUCGAAGCAA
rnacentral:lncRNA from 1 species